AGCAGCCGCCGCGGGAAUACGAAGGGUGCAAGCGUUAAUCGGAAUUACUGGGCGUAAAGCGUGCGUAGGCGGUUUGUUAAGUCUGUUGUGAAAUCCCCGGGCUCAACCUGGGAAUGGCAAUGGAUACUGGCAAGCUAGAGUGUGUCAGAGGAUGGUGGAAUUCCCGGUGUAGCGGUGAAAUGCGUAGAGAUCGGGAGGAACAUCAGUGGCGAAGGCGGCCAUCUGGGACAACACUGACGCUGAGGCACGAAAGCGUGGGGAGCAAACAGGAUUAGAGACCCCGGUAGUCCCUGUCUCUUAUAC
rnacentral:rRNA from 1 species